CCUACGGGUGGCUGCAGUGGGGGAUAUUGCACAAUGGGGGAAACCCUGAUGCAGCGACGCCGCGUGUGGGAAGACGGUCCUCUGGAUUGUAAACCACUGUCCCCAGGGACGAAGAUGACGGUACCUGGGGAGGAAGCUCCGGCUAACUACGUGCCAGCAGCCGCGGUAAUACGUAGGGAGCGAGCGUUGUCCGGAAUUACUGGGUGUAAAGGGAGCGUAGGCGGGGAUGCAAGUUGGGUGUCAAAACUACCGGCUCAACUGGUAGUCGCACUCAAAACUGCAGCUCUUGAGUGAAGUAGAGGCAGGCGGAAGUCCUAGGGGAGCGGGGAAAUGCGUAGAUAUUAGGAGGAACACCAGGGGGGAAGGCGGCCUGCUGGGCUUUUACUGACGCUGAGGCUCGAAAGUGUGGGGAGCAAACAGGAUGAGAUACCCUUGUAGUC
rnacentral:rRNA from 1 species